rnacentral:rRNA from 1 species
CCUACGGGAGGCUGCAGUGAGGAAUAUUGGUCAAUGGGCGGAAGCCUGAACCAGCCAAGUAGCGUGCAGGAUGACGGCCCUACGGGUUGUAAACUGCUUUUAUACGGGAAUAACGCGCCUUACGUGUAGGGCGUUGCAUGUACCGUAUGAAUAAGGCCCGGCUAAUCCCGUGCCAGCAGCCGCGGUAAUACUGAAGGUCCGGGCGUUAUCCGGAUUUAUUGGGUUUAAAGGGCGCGUAGGCCGCAUGUCAAGCGUGCUGUGAAAUGUCCGGGCUCAACCCGGGCCUUGCAGCGCGAACUGGCGUGCUUGAGUCCGCGGAAAGCAGGCGGAAUUCGUCGUGUAGCGGUGAAAUGCUUAGAUAUGACGAAGAACCCCGAUUGCGAAGGCAGCUUGCUGCAGCGGAACUGACGCUGAUGCUCGAAAGCGCGGGUAUCGAACAGGAUUAGAUACCCGUGUAGUC